GUAACAAGGUCUCCGUUGGUGAACCAGCGGAGGGAUCAUUACCGAGUUUACAACUCCCAAACCCCUGUGAACAUACCUUAAUGUUGCCUCGGCGGAUCAGCCCGCGCCCCGUAAAACGGGACGGCCCGCCAGAGGACCCAAACUCUAAUGUUUCUUAUUGUAACUUCUGAGUAAAACAAACAAAUAAAUCAAAACUUUCAACAACGGAUCUCUUGGUUCUGGCAUCGAUGAAGAACGCAGCAAAAUGCGAUAAGUAAUGUGAAUUGCAGAAUUCAGUGAAUCAUCGAAUCUUUGAACGCACAUUGCGCCCGCUGGUAUUCCGGCGGGCAUGCCUGUUCGAGCGUCAUUUCAACCCUCAAGCCCCCGGGUUUGGUGUUGGGGAUCGGCUCUGCCUUCUGGCGGUGCCGCCCCCGAAAUACAUUGGCGGUCUCGCUGCAGCCUCCAUUGCGUAGUAGCUAACACCUCGCAACUGGAACGCGGCGCGGCCAUGCCGUAAAACCCCAACUUCUGAAUGUUGACCUCGGAUCAGGUAGGAAUACCCGCUGAACCUAAGCAUAUCA
rnacentral:misc_RNA from 1 species